rnacentral:sRNA from 1 species
CAGCUUGCUGUGGCUAUNUUCAUGUUUUCUCUGCACACGGAACAGGUACACUAUGUAUGCUGGCAUCCUCAGUGCCCAUCCAAUGUGCCUUAAACCUGUUCUGGAGGAACCACUUCUAGAAACAAGAGACUAGUUCAGGCUCCAUAUCCAUUCCAAGGUUGGCCUCU